rnacentral:rRNA from 1 species
CCUACGGGUGGCAGCAGUGAGGGAUAUUGGUCAAUGGGGGAAACCCUGAACCAGCAACGCCGCGUGAGGGAAGACGGCUUUCGGAUUGUAAACCUCUGUCCUCUGUGAAGAUAAUGACGGUAGCAGAGGAGGAAGCACCGGCUAACUACGUGCCAGCAGCCGCGGUAAUACGUAGGGAGCGAGCGUUGUCCGGAUUUACUGGGUGGAAAGGGUGCGUAGGCGGCACUGCAAGUCAGAAGUGAAAUCCAUGGGCUUAACCCGGGAACUGCUUUUGAAACUGCAGGACUUGAGUGCAGGAGAGGUAGGCGGAAUUCCGGGUGUAGCGGUGAAAUGCGUAGAGAUCGGGAGGAACACCAGUGGCGAAGGCGGCCUACUGGGCUUUAACUGACGCUGAGGCACGAAAGCGUGGGGAGCAAACAGGAUUAGAUACCCGAGUAGUC